rnacentral:rRNA from 1 species
GACGAACGCUGGCGGCGUGCUUAACACAUGCAAGUCGAACGGAAAGGCCCUGCUUGUGUGGGGUGCUCGAGUGGCGAACGGGUGAGUAACACGUGAGUAACCUGCCCUUGACUUUGGGAUAACUUCAGGAAACUGGGGCUAAUACCGUAUAGGAGCUCCUGCUGCAUGGUGGGGGUUGGAAAGUUUCGGCGGUUGGGGAUGGACUCGCGGCUUAUCAGCUUGUUGGUGGGGUAGUGGCUUACCAAGGCUUUGACGGGUAGCCGGCCUGAGAGGGUGACCGGCCACAUUGGGACUGAGAUACGGACCAGACUCCUACGGGAGGCAGCAGUGGGGAAUAUUGCACAAUGGGAGGAAGCCUGAUGCAGCAACGCCGCGUGCGGGAUGACGGCCUUCGGGUUGUAAACCGCUUUCGCCUGUGACGAAGCGUGAGUGACGGUAAUGGGUAAAGAAGCACCGGCUAACUACGUG